UACGUAGGGUGCAAGCGUUGUCCGGAAUUAUUGGGCGUAAAGAGCUCGUAGGCGGUUUGUCGCGUCUGCUGUGAAAAACCCGAGGCUCAACCUCGGGCCUGCAGUGGGUACGGGGCAGACUAGAGUGCGGUAGGGGGAGAUUGGAAUUCCUGGUGUAGCGGUGGAAUGCGCAGGAUAUCAGGAGGAACACCAAUGGCGGAGGCAGCUCGCUGGAACGGUACUGACGCUGAGGCGCGAAAGCGUGGGGAGCGAACAGG
rnacentral:rRNA from 1 species